rnacentral:rRNA from 1 species
UGAGGAAUAUUGCGCAAUGGGCGAAAGCCUGACGCAGCGACGCCGCGUGGAGGAUGAAGGUCUUCGGAUUGUAAACUUCUGUUAAGUGGGAAGAAAUGCAUAGUUCUAAUAAAACUGUGAGAUGACGGUACCAUUAGAGAAAGCACCGGCUAACUUCGUGCCAGCAGCCGCGGUAAUACGAAGGGUGCAAGCGUUAUUCGGAUUUAUUGGGCGUAAAGGGUGCGCAGGCGGUGUGUUAAGUCAACUGUUAAAUCUCCCAGCUUAACUGGGAACCAGCAGUAGAUACUGGCAUGCUAGAGGGUGGAAGAGAGAAGUGGAAUUCUCGGAGUAGCGGUAAAAUGCGUAGAUCUCGAGAGGAACACCGAUGGCGAAGGCAGCUUCUUGGUCCACACCUGACGCUCAUGCACGAAAGCGUGGGGAGCAAACAGG